UAUACUUAAAUGACUGAUCACUAAUAUCUAACUUUAUAGUUAAUUACUGUUUUUCUUGCUGUUGAUGUAUUCUUAAAUUGAGUUAUCCCACCUCGGGUUGCAUAUGCUCCUUUGGAUUGUUCUUUGUUCUCAUGGGUAUUGCUGGGUGCUAAAUCUCUUCCUGACAAGACCAUGUUCCCUUAUAUGCGAGCAUAUCUUCUUAUAUUUAUAUAAUAGUCAGGGGUGAAAAGGUGAGUCUUGGUGCAAUUAAGGUUGCUCCCCUGUAACCUAGAGAUCAUUCGGAGCCUCCUCAAAACCCAUAGUGAGGGAAUUUGUCAGCUUUGAGACUCCAUUUAUUCUUCAUUGUUGUACAUUUUAUUGUAAUUAUUCAUGGCUGAACUGAAGUUUUGAACCUUUAUGAUUGUGGAGAAUCUUUAAUAGUUAUAUUCUAUUCUUGACUAAUUACAAUACAAGGGCAUUCUGUUUUGAAAAAUAAAUAAAUAUUCCCCAUAGUCUUGUUGUUAUUAGUUAUAAGUUUCCCUUUUAAAGUUGAAGAUAAUUUCAGUGUAUAUAGCUCUCUUUAUCUAGUGAAAGUCUGUCGCAUUAGAAAUUUGCUUCUUCCAUUGUUUGUGAAAUGUAAUGAUUGAUUAAGUACCAUUUUUUUUUUCUGGGCAACUAUAACUAGUAAUUCGUUUACUUUGACUAAAUUUCUUAGCAAAAACUAAUUCUGAUUCUACAAAUUUGCAUCAAAAUUGCAUCAAUCUCUUGUUCCUCUCAAAGAUUUUUGAAAUCUUCACUGUUCAAAUUGUCAUAACAUAUUUUAUUUGAUCUUUUAAUUGAUGUUCUGCCUAAAAUAAAAUCUAGAUACUAAUAAUAUUUGGAUUUCCUUGUCUUAGGCCACAAAAAAUGGAUUACCGGCAUCUCUUGGGAACCAGUCCACUUGAAUGCUCCUUGUCGUCGGUUUGUUAGUGCUAGCGGAGAUGGUGAUGCACGCAUAUGGGAUGUUUCGUUAAGGAAAUGUGUUAUCUGUCUCACUGGUCAUACACGUGCAAUAACUUGUGCGAAAUGGGGUGGAGUUGUUGUAAUUUAUACUGGAAUGUUUUGCUUUAAGCUUCUAAACUCUAGGAUGGGAAUUCAUUGUGAUGAAGGCCAUUGUCAUCUACUCAAUUUCUCUUUCACAUUCAUCAUUCCUUUGCAGGAAAAAUUGGAGUAUCCAGAAGUUCUUCCAAAAUAU